rnacentral:misc_RNA from 1 species
GAUGAAGAACGUAGCGAAAUGCGAUAAGUAAUGCGAAUUGCAGAAUUUCCGUGAGUCAUCGAAUCUUUGAACGAACAUUGCGCCCACUGGUAUUCCGGUGGGCAUGCCUGUUCGAGCGUCAUUAUCCUCCCUCAAACCUCGGGUUUGGUGUUGGACCCAAGUUGUGUGAACAACUGGUCUCAAAGACAAUGACGGCGUCCGUGGGACCCUCGGUGCAACGAGCUUUUAGGAGCACGCGUCUAGUUUCAAGGACCUUCCGGGCCGGUCUCCUUUACUAUUUUUACAAGGUUGACCUCGGAUCAGGUAGGAAUACCCGCUGAACUUAAGCAUAUCAAUAAGCGGAGGA